rnacentral:misc_RNA from 1 species
GAUGAAGAACGCAGCGAAAUGCGAUAAGUAAUGUGAAUUGCAGAUUUCAGUGAAUCAUCGAAUCUUUGAACGCACAUUGCGCCCUCUGGUAUUCCGGGGGGCAUGCCUGUUCGAGCGUCAUUAUAACCACUCAAGCUCUCGCUUGGUAUUGGAGUUCGCGAUCUCGCGGCUCCUAAAAUCAGUGGCGGUGCCUGUCGGCUCUACGCGUAGUAAUACUCCUCGCGAUUGAGUCCGGUAGGUUUACUUGCCAGCAACCCCCAAUUUUUACAGGUUGACCUCGGAUCAGGUAGGGAUACCCGCUGAACUUAAGCAUAUCAAUAAGCGGAGGA